rnacentral:rRNA from 1 species
AUUGAACGCUGGCGGCAGGCCUAACACAUGCAAGUCGAACGAGUGGCGGACGGGUGAGUAAUGUCUGGGAAACUGCCUGAUGGCGGGGGUUAACUACUGGAAACGGUAGCUAAUCCCGCAUACCAUCAGAUGUGCCCAGAUGGGAUUAGCUAGUAGGUGGGGUAAUGGGUCACCGAGGCGACGAUCCCUAGCUGGUCUGAGAGGAUGACCAGCCACACUGGAACUGAGACACGGUCCAGACUCCUACGGGAGGCAGCAGUGGGGAAUAUUGCACAAUGGGCGCAAGCCUGAUGCAGACAUGCCGCGUGUAUGAAGAAGGUCUUCGGGUUGUAAAGCACUGUCAUCGAGGAGGCGUUACUCGCAGAAGAAGCACCGGCUAACUCCGUGCCAGCAGCCGCGGUAAUUC